GGUGUCUCCAGCCUUAUAUGGAGACAGUAAAACGAGAUUAACUGGCUUUUGGAAAGUCCAAGGAGAUCAAAAAUCUGCUGGAUGCUUUAAUGUGCUGUGCCCGGGUUUUAUCCAAGUCCAUCAAACUGUUGGCUUUGGAACUAUCCUUGAGCCUUCUCAAACUGGAUCGACAAUAAAAUUAUAUUUAAAUUUUAUAAUCGAACAGCUUUUUGAAGAUGCUACACCAUUGGGGGAAACCAAAUUGGAAGACAUUCGGAUUCAUUGGAGAAAUUUGUUUUCAUAAAAAUUUAGAAAUAGAUCAUGUUGAAAGGUCUAGUAUUACAUGUAAAAUUUAGAAAUAGGUGAAUGUGGUUUCAGUAUUAGGUUGCCCAGUGCAUAUCUAAUGUAGUGUGACCUAAUUUUUUUGAUCUUCUCUUCUCCUUGUAAGAGAUAUAUAUUAUAUAAUGAUGUAAUUGAGUCAUUUCUAUAAUGAUAACGAUCCCAAAU